UUCAGAAUGAACAUCACCUCACUGGAGUUCAAGGCUCUGCAACUCGUACGUGCUUCAGAAUCCCUGGGAAGCUAAACGUUAAGAUCCUUUUGAAGUCUGAACUCUGGCUGACAGAACGUAAGAGGGACAGAAGAAGAUCUUCCUGCUAUAAUGCCAGGGCCCAGUACCCACACUGGGGGCCUGUGGUGCCCAAGGUGUCUCCAGCCAGGCCUAUGCCUGAGAGUUAAGAGAGGACACAGCAACAAGUUGGCGCCAUGUCUAUUUCCUCUUGGGAUCCAUGGUGCCUACGCAGAGUCUGGCCCAGAGCAAGGAUUAAGGGUCUUGGCCGAAAAAAAGUGAAGCUUAUUUUAAGCAAGAACUUAAAACAGACUCUCACCUAAGGACCACCACCCAGGCGAGGGCUUCUUGGGCCAUUAACAUCCUUGACCUCAAAGAUGGAAAUUGCAAGAUGGGAGACUGAGAGUGCCGUUCAAGGUUCCCUAAUGUGAGCCAUUGGAGACAUGGCUGGGAUCAACUUUAACCUAUCUCUGCUCAAAAGGUGUCAACCUUGUCCACAUCAGCCAGGAUGUCAAGGUGGAGAGGAUAGAAAUUCCGGAUCUGGCUGAGUCUAGUGCCCACCAGAGAAAACUUUGGCCUUUAAUCUGGGAUUUUUACAUCAUUUUCUUCUCUAACAGAGGGAGAGAGAGGGGCAUGAGUUGGGUCCACCAAUUGGGACAAGCAGGUCCAACCUGCUUCUCUGCUGUCUUCAAUUCCAUUCAGACCCCUACGCCCUGCUGCCUAGCACCUCCACCUUCCCCUCUGGGGCUCCAGCAAAGAGGAAGGCAGUCAGAACCACUCCAAAGGGUCCAAUCUCCUUGCAUUCCAGCCCUGGCCAAAGUCAGCCCGGGAACAAGUGGAGAGCCCCUCUUGAAGGAAGUGAUUCAGAAACCAUGAUGGCCUGGCGGCCCGCCGUGACUCACAGCACAUCAAUGGGGGAAUUGUCUGUAGAAGCCGAGAAUUCCAAAGCUCUUUUCUUUCCUUUCUUACUUACUUUCUUUUUUUUCUUUCUUUCUUUCUUUUUUGCCCUCCCCUUGGCGGCAUUGUGCAACAGCAGGGCUGCCCAGAAACAUGUGGUUUUCAUCAUUGGCUCCACAGCUGCCCUAGAGCACUGUGGAGAAAAUAAGAUGGAGAGGGAACAGGAUACAAGGGGACCUGUCGCGGUCAAGCAGGGUCCUUCUCUUUCCCCCCACCUUUCUUGUCAACACCAACAUCCUCAAAGAGCAUCUGGAACGGAAGGGAAUAGAAUUUUGGAUCUGGGAGAAAACUUAGAGUAUGUCUCAUCCAAUAACUCUAUGUACAGAUGAGGAAACUGAGGCCUCAAGAGGGGACGUAAGUGGCUUGGCAAAUGUCCACAGCCAAGUUGCAUCUUGCAUCUUGCUGCAGUGACUGACUUUUCUUAGCCUCCAAGUCAGGAAAUGUAGUUUGACAAAGGAUAAUUUUUUUCCAUGGAAUGUGACAGAUGAAAAGUCAUACCAAGUUUAGUUAUAAAUCUCUCCAUUGUCCCUUUCCCCUUAUCUACCAGUCUAGGGAGUCUGUUUUACCCGGAGUCAUCUGUGGGGACACGUGCAAAAUCUAAAGGUCUUUUUGCAGUUGUCAUCUGAUUGGUCAUCUCUGUAGCAUGUGAAUUAAUGUCCACAGGUUUCCAGGUAUUCCCCCUAUGCAUCCACUCCUACCUCUGCAACGUCUCCUUUUCGGCAUUCUUUUCUCCUCCCUUGGCUCUCAGAUGCCUUAGUUCUAUAGGGCUGUCUUAUCUUAACUCAUAUCCAUGUUCACGGUUUCAGUGGCUAUCAUUCAGCUGAGGACUCCCAAAUCUUAUCUAUAGUCUGUUCAUCAUUCCUGAGCUACAGACGUGUACAUACAGCUGCCUUCUCAGUGCCUUUCUUGGAUUCCCCAGAUGGAACUCAUCAUUUCCCUCCAUAGCUCUUUGACUACUUUGAUUUUAUUACCAAGUAACUAUGGGACCAAUAUAGUCAGUGUUCCAAAGCACAUGCUUUGGCAUCUUAUUGACCUGGGCCUGACUCCCAGAUAUGCCACUUAACUGGCUACGGGUCUUUGGCCAAGUUACUGACCUUUCCAAGUUCCUCAUCUGUAAAAUGGGGGUAAUAAAAAUACCUACUUCAUAAGGCUGUCAUUAAGAGGAAAUGAGUUAAUACAAUAGCAUUAACACAAUGCCUGGCACAUAAUAAAUACUCAAUUACUGCUGAGCUGUUAUUUUUAUUAUGUACCUCAGCAUCCUCCCAACUUGAGCCACACUGAAUUCUUAGCACUUAAAAUAUUUACUGACCACAUAUGUGUUCCAAGCACUGUGCGUGGUAUAGAAUUACAUGAGUGGAUAGAUGAAUUUUCUGUUUUAAAAUUGCCUUACAAAGUAUCCCCAUUUUACAGAUGAGGAAGACAAUCACUUUCUGAGAAAAGCAAACAACCAACCAAGAGAUUCCCUCAUGUUCCUUCUUACUAGCCAAUAAUUUAUACUGAAUAUGAUGACACAGAAAAAAAGAAAAAGGUAGGCCAAUUCAUAGUUCACUUUUCUUUUAGUCCUUACUUACUCAACAGUAAGCCUCAAGUAGAGGGGGUUGGAAGAAUGUGUGUGCAUCCAGAAGUGAAAUAAAAACAGUUGAGUUAGUUUUGUGUAGCAUGGUUGUGUAAGAGGAAACCCCUUUCGCUUGGCUCUCAUUUUCUCUUGCUGCCGCCAUGUAAGACGUGCCUUUCGCCUUCUGCCAUGAUUGUGAGGCCUCCCCAGCCAUGUGAAACUGUAAGCCCAUUCAACUUGUUUUUCUUUUCUUUUCUUCUCUUUUUUUUUUUUUUUGAGUCUCACUCUGUCGCCCAGGCUGGAGUGCAGUGGCGCCAUCUUGGCUCACUGCAAGCUCCGCCUCCCGGGUUCACGCCAUUCUCCUGCCUCAGCCGCCCGAAUAGCUGGGAGUAUAGGCACCCACCACCACGCCCGGCUAAUUUUUUGUAUUUUUAGUAGAGACGGGGUUUCACCGUGUUAGCCAGCAUGGUCUCGAUCUCCUGACCUCGUGAUCCACCUGCCUCGGCCUCCCAAAGUGCUGGGAUUACAGGCAUGAGCCACCACGCCCAGCCUAAACCUCUUUUUCUUUAUAAGUUACCCAGUCUCGGGUAUGUCUUUAUUAGCAGUGUGGGAACUGACUAAUACAGCAUGUAGGAACUAUGAAAUAUGAAUUGUGUAAUUUUAUUGAUUCUGCUUAUGAGUUCAAUGUUUUCAUAUUUGCAUUUAAAAUUUUGCAUUGCACAAUGUAAAAGUAAAUGGUAAAAUCCACGUGAAUAAUGUAAAAUUUCAUUUAUUUAUUUUACCUAGAAUGAUAUUAAAUAGCAAUUAAAACAGCAUUAUGACAAGUCAAGAGAGAGAUAGUGGAAGGAAAGAAAAAGCUUUAUAUUUAGUAUCUUUAACAGCAUUCCCCCCCCACACUGCACAUUUUGAAAAAGGGAUCCUGCAAAUUAUGUAGCCAUCCCUGACUAAGAUAGGGAAAUGUCUUUGAAUUUUAGACUUGAGAAGAGACUAUGAAAAGUCUCUCAGAGAACCCUGCUCUGCUCACCACCCAUCAUAUUGUAUGUGAAGAUGGUAAGAGCUACAGGGAGUCUUAAGGUCACACAGGGAGCAAGUAGAUAAACCAAGACUGGUGCCCAUGCCAUCUGACUCCAUUCCUUCCUAGUCUAGCAUUCUUCACCUAAUGUGUGCUCUUCCUUCUGUCAGAAAUCCCACCUUAUGACUUGGAGAUAAGAUUUCCCCUUUGCAAUUGAAACCAUCCAAUCAGUACUUGGCUGAUGAUGUGCAAUUGAUAUGCCUUCCAUCCAAGGCCAGGGAGACUUGGCCAGCACUUGGUUAAAAGUAAUAAAUAGUUUUCAGGGGAAAAUCUAGUGGUCGGUGUUUUAGUCCUUGUCUUUCUUGACCUAACAGCAGCAUUUAUUUAUUUAUUUAUUAUUUUUUAUUUCCAUAGGUUUUUGGGGAACAGGAGGUGUCUGGUUACAUGAAUGAGUCCUUUAGUGGUGAUAUCUGAGAUUUUGGUGCACCUGUCACUCGAGCAGCAUACA